ensembl:snRNA U2 U2 spliceosomal RNA
AUCGCUUCUCGGCCUUUUGGCUAAGAUCAAGUGUAGUACAUACGGAUAACCAGUUUUCAAAAAAAAACGCUGUUCUUUUGUUAAUGAGGCUGUCUUUCUCCAACGUAUGUUUUUGGCCCCUUUGUCAAGAAUCAGGCUGUACCUGUGUGGGCUUAUUUUGGUGUCCUCUA